rnacentral:lncRNA from 1 species
GUUCGGCCGACUCCAAGCAUCAAAACCAAAACCGAAGGCACGAGGAGCUAGAGGAGCUUGCAGCGCACUCACCCACGGCCUUAUUUCGGCCGGAGAGAUCCCGGAGUAGUGUGGCCGCGUGGGAAGAUAGGGAGAGAGUCGGCGAGAUCCAAAACCGGGUGGGGAAGACCGCUAGGGCUUGGUUUUUUUGCGGCUCGGGUGGAAAACGAGGCGCGGGGCAUCACUAGGAGCUUUAUAAGGCUCGGUUUGAUCUCGACAUGCCAAAUCCCGGGAGAAUCGGGAUUUUGGUUGGCGCCGGAGUCCGACUCGGCUCCGUCUCGUGAAGAAGGAAGGAGGAGAGCUGACGUGUGGGGCCGGUGUGGCAGUGACUGAGAGGGGCGGAGGAGGGGGAAGCGUGCGCGCAGGGAGCUGGGCCGGUUGGGCCGCGCGCUAGGGGAAGGGGAAAACUGCUGGGCCUCGGCUUUUGGCCCAGGCCGAGGUGAGGGAAGUGUAUUUCUCUUUUUUUUUUUAUUAUUAUUAUUUUCCAAAGCCUUUUCCAAAUAGAGUUUUGAAAGCAAUACAAUUAAAAUAAAACCAGAUCAAACAGUACAAAAAUAACUAUGCUUCAGCAUGAAUGCAAAAUCAUGUUUCUGAACUUAUGAUGAGUUUUAAUUUUCACAAAAUUAUUUGUUUGCUAGAUUCAAAUGCCCACAAAAAUACUUAUUUAAUUUGAAUUAAAUCCUAUAAAUUGAAAAUCAGUAUUUCGGGUGUUACAAACUCUACCCCCCUUAAAAGAAUCUCGUCCUCGAGAUUGAGCAGAACUUACUCAAACAAAUAUGAAAACGAUUUUCUCAGAUCAUCCUCUCUUUCCCAAGUUGCCUCUGCUUCCGAAUACCGAUUCCACUGCACUUUGCACAUUCUAAUAACCCGACUUCUGGUGACUCUCUCAGCUAGUUUCCAAUAUUCUGACCGGAUACUCUUCAUAAGUGAGAUCACCUUUAACAGAAAGUUCUUCCAAUGGUAGUUGCUCCUCAGGUACACGCAAACACUUCUUAAGUUGUGACACAUGGAACACAUCGUGCACACCAGACAAACUUUCAGGCAAUUCUAACCGAUACGCUAC